rnacentral:rRNA from 1 species
UACGAAGGGGGCUAGCGUUGUUCGGAAUCACUGGGCGUAAAGCGCACGUAGGCGGACUUCUAAGUCAGGGGUGAAAUCCCAAGGCUCAACCUUGGAACUGCCCUUGAUACUGGAAGUCUCGAGUCCGAGAGAGGUGAGUGGAAUUCCGAGUGUAGAGGUGAAAUUCGUAGAUAUUCGGAGGAACACCAGUGGCGAAGGCGGCUCACUGGCUCGGUACUGACGCUGAGGUGCGAAAGCGUGGGGAGCAAACAGG